GCUUUGCUUUUUUUUUUUUUUUUUUAAGAAAAAGGUUUUCUAGUUUCUUCUACAUUAAAAACAAUCCCUCCUUCUCAUAAAGCACAAUUUUACAGAGGAAAAGGGAGAUGUGAAACUAUACACAAUUCAAAUCUAAUUAAUAUAUAAUUCUUUUGUGGAAUACAUAUGGAGGGAAUACAUCACAAUACUAAAGGUGAUUAUCUUUGGAUGGUGGGAUUACAGGUGAUUAUAUAUUUUUUAUAUUUCUAUAGUUUAAAAAUAUUCCAUGAUGACCUAUAAUUACUUUUACUUAUUUAUUUUUUGAGACAAAAUCUCACUCUGUUGACCAAGGCUGGAGCGCAGUGGUGCAAUCUCGGCUUAGUGCAAUCUCGGUGUAGUCUCGACCUCACAGGCUCAAGUGAUCCUCCCACCUCAGCCUCCGGAGAAGCUGGGACUACAGCUCUUUGCCCAGCUUCCAGUGACUCCUCUGUGCCUGGAGAGAAGGGCAAGCGCCUUACUCAUGCCUUGAGGUUGCUGACCACUUCCGUCACCAGCCUCGCUCCUUCCAGACCUGUCCUGGGAGUCCCUGCCUCCUGGCCUUCACCUGCAUCACGGUCUGCACUUCUCAGAGCCCUGCCCUUCCUUGAAGAACAAAGCCUGGCCAAAUUGUGUCAGCCUGCUGGCCUGCAGUGACCCCUGCUUACAUCGUACAUAACAAUAGCUAUAACUUAUUGACAUUAACUUCAGGUCACAUAGCAAAAGUGCUCUCAUUUAAAUCUUAGGCUACCAGAGGAUCCAUAGACUAAAAUGUUAACAGCAUCUCCUGGAGUUGUGGAGUGUGGUGACCCUAUGUGAUCCUCCUGUGCCACUGAGAGAUAUAUUAUUAACCCAGUUUCACUGAUAAGAUAACUGAGGCUCAGAGAGGUCAAGUAACUUGCCCAUGGUCACACAGUGGGUCCAUGGCAGAGCUGGGAGGUGAUCCCUAGUCAGUUCCCUCCAAGUCCAGGAUUUUCUCACUCCCACAAUGGUGUCUCCCUUAAUGACUCUCACAUUCCAGCCUCUGAGGGCAGGAAGGGUAUGUUCUGAGUUGAACACACAGAGAGCACUCAAUGAUGUCUGGUGGUGAAGAUGUUAAUCAUGAGCUCAAUCAAGGUUUAUCAUUAAAUCAACAAGUCUUCCUAGCGUGUCUGGGAGCUCUGGGGCCCAGGGACAGGCCUACUGUAGUUCAGUGUUGUAUUCUGGCACCUGGUGGUUUCUGGCACAUAGCCCAUGUUCAUCAAAUGACAUGAAUGAUUGUCCAUUCAAAUAAUAAAACAAUAAAUAAAUAAUACUAGCUAACAGGUAUGGAGUGCCUACAAGCCAGCCACCUCAGGGAGUUUCCAGGACAGUUGAGGAGAAACAUAACACUGUUGACAAGAGCUACAACGUAGGGUUUUACACCAAAACAGUGUCUACGUAAACAGUGUCUAUCAAAGAGAGAAAAAUGAUGGGCAGACACCCUGAUCCUUCCCACAGUGCUAAAGGCCAUGCCAGCCACUGUCCCCAUUACAACUUGCAUAUACUGACUGCCGAAGCACACAAACCUGAAUUUUCCGUCUGCAUCCAUCGUUCUGUCUGUUCGGAUCACAUCUGGAUACUACUGUUCCCUCUCCAGACUGGAUAACCAGUCUGCUGAGGGCCAGAAGAUGGUGAGAUGGAAACUAGUCAUGUUUAGCUUGGAGAAGAGAAAUGAAGACCGUCUUUAACACCUGACAGGUUGCUCUUCCCAAGAGGGGCCAGUGGGCAACAGCUGUGGUCAACAGCUCCAGGCACCCCUGAGGAAGCCUGCUCCAGCUGGCAGGGCUGUCUGGCAAGGGACCAGUCCCUCCUCUGGAGAAGUGGUGAGCCCAGUGGGCUGCCUCUCCAGCAGGAUCCUAUAGAGACCUUACUCUCUACAAUGCACACUCCACACACUUGCUCACUUGACAAACACUUAUUAUAACUGUCACCCUAGGCCCAUUCCAGGUUAGGGACAUAAGGAUGAAUAAAACAAGGUCUGUACCAGUAGAGAACAUCAGUCCCCUAGGGGAGAAAGUCAGGAAAGCCUCAUCCUGAGCCUUGGACUCCUUACUGUCCAUCCUGUAGGCUCCUGUCUCAGCUUCUGCUGAAGGCUAUUUUCUUCCUUGUAUUCUGCAGUGACCAGGCAUAUGGCAGAUAAUCAACAAAUACAGGCAUCCCUGAAGAGGGUAUCCUGGGAUAAAAGCCCCAGCUGGAUCAGUGCUAUACAGGGGCCAACUGGGGGUGGGUCCCAGGCAGGGUCAUUUGCAGGGGUCCCUCUGCCCCUUCAAGUCCUGCCAGACAGGCCUUGGCCAUGGUUUCUUCCUGCCCCUGUCCCCUGACCACAGUUGAUCUCCCCUGGCUGUUAUGAAAUGUCAAAGAAUGUCCUGCAAUCCUAAAUUCCAUAAUGAUCUUUAUCUUCUGUUCCCUCUGAGGCUCCUCAAUCUGCAGUAACAGCUGUGGUUCAGCAAGCAGUGCGGCACUCUGGAGUGCUGUUCUGAAACAGGGCCGGCGUGGGGCAGAGCUCAUCUACUGCCCUGUCCAUUCACUGUGCUGUUCGGGGCUAGAGAAGAUUCAUGUGUGUAUAUGCUUUUUAAAAAUUGUGAAACAAUAAUUAUGCAGAAAAAUACACAGAAUAUAUGUUCAGUUUAACAAAUAAUCAUAAAGCAAAUCUCUAUAAAACCACUGCUGCUCUGCAGUGACCCCUGCUUCCCCCUAAGUCGUGCAUAACAAUAGCUACAAUUUACUGACCAUGAAAUUCAGGUCACACAGCAAAGGUGUUCUCAUUUAAUCUUUGGCCACCAGAGGCUGCAUAGACUAAAAUGUGAACAGUGUCCCCUGCAGUUGUGGAGUGUGGUGACCCUAUUGGAUCUUCUCACGCCACUGAGGGAUAUACUGUUUUCUGUAGAGAAGUCCAGCAGAGUCACUGUCCUGGGGGGCAUCCUUCUUGAUCGCCCCCAUGCCAUGAAGGCCCAUUCCCUGCCCAGGGCUCUAGAGUCUGAGCUUCUCCAAGAGGGAAUGGAGUCUUUCGCAGAGGGGCUGUGGAGCCUUGUAAGGCUGAAUCUAACCACGAGCAGGGAUUUUGGGCAGCUGCAUAUCCCAGAUGGUUUCCCAGUGGAUCAGCUUCCUGUUGCUGCUCUAAUAAACUAACAUAAACUUAGGGGCUUAAAACAACACAAAUUUCUUUUCUUAUAGUUCCGUAGGUCAGAAGUCCAAAACAGGUCUCACUGGGCUAAACUGAAGGUGUCAGCAGGGCUGCAUUCCUUCCUGGGGGCUCUAGUAGAGAAUCUCUUUCCUUUCUUCCCCUUUCCAGCUUUUAGAGGCUGCCUGCAUUCCUUGGCCUGCGGCCCCUUCCUCCACCUUCAAAGCCAGCACUGGCUGGCCAGGUCUUUCAUAUAUUGCAAUCUCUCUGCUUCUGCUUCUGCUUCUGACCCUUCUGCCUCUCUCUUCUCCAUUUAAGAAUGCUUGUGAUUACAUUGGGCUCACCCACCCCAGUUUCUACCCAAUAAUCCAGGGUAAUCUCCCAAAGUUAAAGAGAGAAAACAAUACUAGCACCCCCAAAGCACCUACGUGUUCCCCUACUAAUCACAACCCCAACCCUCCCUUCUGCAUAAGUAAAUAGACAUUUGUAAUAAUUCUGUGCUUUUUGUAGUUUGACCUCCUCUGCAUGUAUCCUUAACAAUACAGUUUUGCCAGCUGUUAGAUUUUUGCUAAAAG
rnacentral:antisense_RNA from 1 species